rnacentral:rRNA from 1 species
AGAGUUUGAUCAUGGCUCAGAUUGAACGCUGGCGGUAGGCUUAACACAUGGCAAGUCGUGCGAGAAAGUAUCUUCGGAUAUGAGUAGAGCGGCGGACGGGUGAGUAACGCGUAGGAAUCUACCUAGUAGAAGGGGAUAGCCCGGGGAAACCCGGAUUAAUACCGUAUACCUCCUUCGGGAGAAAGAAGGCCUCUCUUUGAAGCUUUCGCUACUAGAUGAGCCUGCGUAAGAUUAGCUUGUUGGUGAGGUAAAGGCUCACCAAGGCGACGAUCUUUAGCUGGUCUGAGAGGACGAUCAGCCACAUUGGGACUGAGACACGGCCCAGACUCCUACGGGAGGCAGCAGUGGGGAAUAUUGGACAAUGGGCGCAAGCCUGAUCCAGCCAUACCGCGUGUGUGAAGAAGGCCUUCGGGUUGUAAAGCACUUUAAGCAGGGAGAAAAAGUUAUAAGUUAAUACCUUAUAACCCUGAUGUUACCUGCAGAAUAAGCACCGGCUAAUUCCGUGCCAGCAGCCGCGGUAAUACGGAAGGUGCAAGCGUUAAUCGGAAUUACUGGGCGUAAAGCGCGCGUAGGUGGUUUGUUAAGUUGGAUGUGAAAGCCCUGGGCUUAACCUAGGAACUGCAUCCAAAACUAACUCACUAGAGUACGAUAGAGGGAGGUAGAAUUCAUAGUGUAGCGGUGGAAUGCGUAGAUAUUAUGAAGAAUACCAGUGGCGAAGGCGGCCUCCUGGAUCUGUACUGACACUUGAGGUGCGAAAGCGUGGGUAGCGAACAGGAUUAGAUACCCUGGUAGUCCACGCCGUAAACGAUGACAACUAGCCGUUGGGAGACAAUGUCUUUCAGUGGCGCAGGCUAACGUUUUAAAAGUUGUCCGCCUGGGGAGUACGGCCGCA